GACGAACGCUGGCGGCGUGCUUAACACAUGCAAGUCGAACGGGAAGUCCCUGCUUUUGUGGUGUGCUCGAGGGGCGAACGUGUGGGUAACGCGGGAGUAACCUGCCCUGGACUUUGUGAUACCUUCAGGAAACUGGGGCUAAUACCGGAUAGUAGCUCCUGCUUCAUGGUGGGGGUUGGAAAGUUUCGGCGGUUGGGGAUGGACUCGCGGCUGAUCAGCUUGUUGGUGGGGGAGUGGCUUACCAAGUCUUUGACGGCUAGCCGGCCUGAGAGGGUGACCGGCCACAGUGGGACUGAGAUACGGCCCAGACUCAUACGGGAGGGAGCAGUGGGGAAUAUUGCAAAAUGGGAGGAAGCCUGAUGCAGAAACGGCGCGUGCGGGAUGACGGCCUUGGGGUUGGAAACCGCUUUCGCCUGUGACGAAGAGUGAGUGACGGUAAUGGGUAAAGAAGCACCGGCUAACUAAGUG
rnacentral:rRNA from 1 species